rnacentral:rRNA from 1 species
UCCGUAGGUGAACCUGCGGAGGGAUCAUUAUAAAACAGACCUUAAAAAGUCUAAAACCCCUGUGAAUAUACCUGUUUCGUUGCUUCGGCAGGGCGUCCCCCUCGGGGGUCUCGGGCCCUUGGCCCCCUGCCGGAGGUUUUAAAACUCCUGUUUUUAAAAGUAUAUCUCUGAGUAAAAAGACAAAAUAAGUCAAAACUUUCAACAACGGAUCUCUUGGUUCUGGCAUCGAUGAAGAACGCAGCGAAAUGCGAUAAGUAAUGUGAAUUGCAGAAUUCAGUGAAUCAUCGAAUCUUUGAACGCACAUUGCGCCCGCCGGUAUUCCGGCGGGCAUGCCUGUUCGAGCGUCAUUUCAACCCUCAAGCAUCGCUUGGCGUUGGGGCGUUAGGUACCUUAGGGUAUCUAAGCCCUCAAAUUUAGUGGCGGGCUCGCUAAGACUCUGAGCGUAGUAAUUUCGCGGUAAAACGCGGUUCGCUUCGGGCACGUCUAGGCGGGUGCCGGCCGUUAAACCCCCAAAUUUUUACAAAAGGUUGACCUCGGAUCAGGUAGGAAUACCCGCUGAACUUAA